ACACAGUGUACCCUAGACCGAGAUCAGUUGAAGCAGCCUGGUAAGAAGGUUGUAUUAGGUGUUGGAUGCAGGAUGUCAGUUUUAGCCACAGGAGUCCUUUAUCUUGUGCCUUUUUGUUCUUUAUUUUCCAGAUGGGGCCCACUCGGUCUCGAGGGGUAGCGGCUGAGCAGGGAGACGAGCGAGGCGAUACACAACCCUUUGCCCAUGUGCUGAAGGUGCCGAAGGUCCAUCCUAUAAGAGGUCAAGCUGAAGAAGCCCGAGAUAGCCAGGAUGAGGCAGUACGUCAGCACAAACCUCCACGUCCGUGUUGUCUCACAGCGGCCGUCUGUCCACUUCAGGGGGAGACCUUGGGAGCAGCUGAAGAGAGAGGAGC